rnacentral:rRNA from 1 species
UACGUAGGGUGCAAGCGUUGCCCGGAUUUAUUGGGCGUAAAGGGUGCGUAGGUGGCGCUGUAAGUCGGGUGUGAAAUCCUGAGGCUUAACCUCGGAACUGCAUUCGAUACUGCGGCGCUUGAGGACUGGAGAGGAGACUGGAAUUCAUGGUGUAGCAGUGAAAUGCGUAGAGAUCAUGAGGAAGACCAGUGGCGAAGGCGGGUCUCUGGACAGUUCCUGACACUGAGGCACGAAGGCCAGGGGAGCAAACGGG